rnacentral:misc_RNA from 1 species
CAACCAUCAAGCCCCCGGCUUGUGUUGGGGACCUGCGGCUGCCCGCAGGCCCUGAAAUCCAGUGGCGGGCUCGCUGUCGCACCGAGCGUAGUAGCAUACUUCUCGCUCCGGGAGCGCGGCGGGCGCCUGCCGUAAAACCCCCUACAUACCAAA